AACCCAUGGUGAGGGCAUAUUCUCAGGAGGUCCUUGCAUCUCUCCCAUGCAUCGUAGAGUGUUUCUAAAUCCAUCUGUACAAAAUUACGUAAUUUGGCUGUUUUUGUU
rnacentral:snoRNA from 1 species